GCGAAGGAAAAAAAACACCGUAGCACGCGAGGUAGAAAGCGGCGCCCCAAUCCACAGCCCCGCACCCCUCGCUCCUCCCUCCCUCCCUCCCUCCCUCGUCCUCACCCGCCGCCGCUCCCUCCAACCACCUCCUCCUCCUUCCGAUGGGUCGCCGGAUCCGUCGGCCACCCCAUGGACUUCGCCUCGAACGCGGGCUGGGAGAGAGAGCGCGGGCGGGCGGUAGAGGAGGGUGGCGGGCGCCGACGUCGCAGUCGAGGGGGAGCAGGGCUGCCGGAGCUCGCACGGAUGCGCAGUCGGAGGGACGACUGGAGGAGAGUAGGAGGUAGGUACGCUGGGACAGGGUGAUGUCGCCGGCGACGGCAGGGCCAGUCGGCCGGAGCUGGAUUGAUCCGGAGGCGCUCAGCAAGAGAGGCGGACAGCGGACCGAUGGAGAAGGGAUCGGCAUCGGGCAGCUCGAAGACCCAAAACGGCUGCCUCAUCAUCUACCUCACCGUCUCUCCUCCAGUACGCGGAUGCUCUGCUCGACCUCUUCCUCGUCAUGGCUGCUCAACAAAAUAAGCAGGAGCAGCCGGUGCAGCCGAGCGUCUGCCUUAGGCUUCAGCAGGACAUGGCGUUCAACGGUGGAUGCAGGCGGCCUAUGCCAAGCUGGUGCGGGCGGGCUGCUGUCGUUCAUCUACCCCACGCUGCAGCUGCUGCGGCACGGCGUCCGGCUAUUCGGCGACCAGGACCUGCAGAGCAAGGUUGGCCUGCUCAUCGACUAUGUUGGGGAUCAGGAUCUAAUCUCUCCCAUGGCGGUCGGCGGCGCUCUGGCCGUGGAGGCCUGCUCCUCAUGCUCCUCCUCUGGAUCUAAUUCUUGAUUCUUGCGUCGGUCUGAACUGUGCGAUUUACGUUUCGUCAGAGGUCUGUUCUUGGGAUUCUGGUGCUGUUGAUCUCGUCAAGGGCCUCAUCUGCUUUCUUUCAUCUUGUGAAGGGUUUCUUUUCUACGGUUGGUGUCAGCAGUCAGCUCAUCUCCUGGUUCAUCGUCCAGUAUUUGCACUCCUCUGAUCAACUUGCUAAGGAUUUCCUAAUGGAUCCUGUACACAUUCCACCAAGGGUUAUUUUGGAUGCUAUGCUGAACACACUCUAUAGCUCCCAAAAGCUGUGUACUACACCCAGCCUACAGGAGACAUUGGUAUAGAGACUGAUUGAGUAUUAUCCAUCUCUGCAGCACUUGCCAAAGAGCACUGUCAAGAGAUUUGUUUGUCAGUCUGAGUCAUCUUGCUACUUUUGCAGGUUUAUUUGCAUAUGAAAUCACCAGAAUUUUCGCCAUGGCUCUGGUUCUUGACAUGGUGCUUAAAAGCACUCAUCCCAUCUUGAUUAUUCGCAUACAGUUUUUUGUUUUUGUUUUUACUGAUUCACUUCUAUCGACAUUUUUUUAUGUCCCUUUUUAUGACCAGCUUGGUCAUUUGGUCUGGAUGGAGUCAUUCAACUCGGAAAGAAAAAAGAAUUUGAGAAUGCUUUAUCUUUCAUGCAAUAGUUGCGGUCAAUUGUUCUUGGUUUUUCCUGUAGUAGUUGAUAAUCAGUCUGAACAAUAGUAGUAAAGCCAAUAGCAGUUAAUUUGAGACGACUUUUAUCUUCCCUACAGUAGUUAAGGUUGAUUGUUCUUAGUUUUCCCUGUAGUGUUUAAUUUGAUUGUUCUGAGCAUUCAAAUUGUACUCUGUUUCUCUCCUACUCUUUUCUGACAAAUGUUAUUAUCUGUGCUUCAUUACUACUCUCUCUAAAUCAUGUGAGAGUUGAAUGAUGUUGCAGGAUAACUAUUGAUGGUGAAAAGAUUGUGGUUUUUUAUACUGGUAUAGGGGGAGUAUAAUACAAAUGGUCCUUCAAAUCCAGUUGGAAGCUCCUCCCUGUAAUUGAUGAAGGCAGGAUUUACUAUUUCUAGGGAGUAAGAGGUUUAUUUGUUGAACCAUGAUAUCUAAGGGAGUAAGAGGCAACGUCCAGGGGUAUCUAAGAGAGCUGGUCCAGGCUUGAUGGAAAUCGCUUAGUACAUUCAUGGGAUCACAAACUUUUGGCGUUGGUUGAGAUUAGUGACGCGGGACCAUUAAUAACUAGAAGACUGUGACAAUUAACUUACUGUUUCAUGAAUUAGAGAGGCUGGGUUGGACCAACUCCAUGUUACAGGCCCUUUCCUCAUUGCAUUUCUCUUAACAUUAAAUUGAUUAAAUUAUAAUUUCAGUAGGAAAUCUACAACAUACCCAGAUCAUUAUGAUUACUCUUUAUUGUUUUUGUUUCUAUAUCUAAUUGAUAUAUAGAUUUUGCAUCUUGUCCUAUGACAUGUACUUCUGUAGUUGUGUCCAUUGGACUUACUCUUUUCAUUGUGGCAUCAUGAUUCCUCCUUUUCUUGGCUUGCUAUAUAUGUUUGUUUCAUGCUCCAUUUGGUGUUCCAAAAAUAUGCUCAAUUGUUAUAUGUAUCAAAUACAGUCUCUCCCAGUGGUGAACCAUCUGCUUAUUGUUUUACAUA